UUCCUGCUCUGCCUUGGAUGCGACCAGCUGGUCCCACUUACCUCAUCAUCUUCCCCGCCUUCUUAAGGAGAUCCAGGACCUUUCUUCGGUGCCAGUUCGUUGUUACUCCCACGGAACCGUCUUCAUCACAAGGGAACCUCGGGUCGCCGUCCUCUGCUCUCGCUCCUCAUCCUUCUCCUCGGACUCAGCCGAAGUCACGCUCUCUGAUUCAUCCUGCCACAAACCUCCAGUCAGCCGCCACGCCGCAUCAAGAAUCUAGUUCUAUACUCACCUCCUGUGAAUUAAACCACCUUAACUUAC